rnacentral:rRNA from 1 species
CAGUAGCCGCGGUAAUACGGAGGGUGCAAGCGUUAAUCGGAAUUACUGGGCGUAAAGCGCACGCAGGCGGUCUGUCAAGUCAGAUGUGAAAUCCCCGGGCUUAACCUGGGAACUGCAUUUGAAACUGGCAGGCUAGAGUCUUGUAGAGGGGGGUAGAAUUCCAGGUGUAGCGGUGAAAUGCGUAGAGAUCUGGAGGAAUACCGGUGGCGAAGGCGGCCCCCUGGACAAAGACUGACGCUCAGGUGCGAAAGCGUGGGGAGCAAACAGGAUUAGAUACCCCGGUAGUCCCUGUCUCUUAUAC